GGGGCGCGCAGCGGGCGCGCGGCCCCGUGCCCACCGCCCGGCGCGGAGAGGAGCGGAGCCGGCGGCAGCCCCGGGGCCGGCGAGCGCGGAGGAGAGCCGCCCACGCGGGACGUGGGAGCGGAAGGCGUCGGGGAUCGCUGCGCGGAUGCGCGGCCCCCGCGCGCAGAGGUGCGUACGGCCGCGCGUUGGCCAUGCGCGGGUGUGCCGGAGCUUAUGCUUGGAUCUGCGGCGUGCACAACGGGGGGUGCUUGUGGACGUGCAAUGCGUGCAGGGGGACGCAGCGCGUGUGAGCGGGCACUCCGGGUGCAGGCCCGGGCAGAGACGGAGUACCACGAGGGCAAUGGGACAGCCUGGACAUCGGUGGCACCAGGAUGGGUGGAAUGGGGCUGGGCCAUGCCCUGGCUCUGUCCCCUCGCUGCCAUCCUGCACCACUGAUGGCACCCGCCGGGACCACUGCGUUCCUCAGCGAUUCAACAGUGACGUGGAAAUAAAGCUGGGUGACAAUGCGUGUGGCUGGAUACGGCCUGAGCAAGGACCGGGUGCAGGUGCAGGGAUACAUGUAACAGCCUGCACGGGUGGCACCUGCACGGUUUGGGCUUCCCUGGAGGCUGUGCCUCCCCCUUCCCCUUCCCACCAGUCCCAACGGGGAGGAUGCAGAGCCAUCACUAGGUGACCCAUCCAGGAACAAAGCAGCUUUAAUCACACCAAACCACCACCUGGAGCUGGCGGAGAUGUGGGAUGUCCUGCUCUACUCCAGGACCCUCAGUCCAGUGUCAGUCUACCCAGGCGCCCAGCACGGAAGGCCCGCAGGAACUCAUAGGCAGCAGCCGAGUAGUCGAGCAUCGUCAUGUUGACAUUCCCUGCAGAAUGGACAGAGAGGGUUGCCACAAUCCUCAGCAGAGCCCACAGCUCAGCAAUCCCCAAACUCCAUGCUCACCUGUGCCUGUCAGCACCUUCACCUUCUGCGUCUUGCCCAGGGCGACCGCAACAUACUUCAGCACAUGCCUGAUGUUGUCACUGGCCUCGGGCAGUCCAUAGAGCUCCAUGUACCUGCAGAAAGGAUACAGCUCCCACCCACACCUCGGGGUGCCCCAGCCAUGCCCUGCUCCCCACUCACCCAAACUGCUGCUGCUGGUUCAGUACAUACAGCAGGUAGUCAGCCAUGAUGUCCUCACCCACCAAGUGGUCACGGAUCGCUCCUGCCAGAGGGAAGCCCCCAGUCUUGUCAGCUUUCUCCGCACAGCCUGCCCCAGGCUGCCCGGCUCCGUGGCCCCGUACCACACAAUGCCAGCUUCAUCCCCGUCUCCACAUCGGCCAACUUUGGGGGCAGCACACCUGGCGUGUCCACCAGAUACACCAGGGGAGUCUCGCACACCUGCGGCCCCGCCACCAAGACCACAGGCUCAGCAGGAGCUCUCAGCCAAGGUCUCACUGGUGCUUCAUGGGAGAAAGCCUGCACCCUGCAGCCAGCACCCGCAGGGGGGUUAGUACCUGGAUCCGGGUCAGCACCGCCUUGGUGACACCUGGCUCACCGCCCACUGCUGUGGCUUUUCCUUUGGGGAAGAGGAGAGAGUGAGCGUGGUGUGUGAUGCCUGGAGCAACAACCUCCCAAUGCCACAGAAACUUGGGUGUACCCUUUUUGAGGUGCAACCUCCGCAAAGAGUUGAUAAGCGAUGACUUGCCUACGUUGGGCACACCGAUCACCAUGAUGCUGUACUCAGUACUCUGAAAGCAAGGGGGACGUGCAAUUGCUGUGCUCCACCAAAGGACAUACCCAGGCUGCAGCCUCCCUGCCCCUCCUCACCUCAGCCCGGUGGUAGCGUGGGCUGCUGUUGACUAGCUUGGCAACCAGGGGCACAAUCUGUGGGAAGCGAGGAGGAUGCUCUCAUCACAGCCUCAGGGCCAACUGAGAACACAGCAGCAGCACAGUACCUUCUUGACAUUGCUGUCCCGCUGACAAUCAGUGAAGACAACAUGCAAGCAUCCCUGCUGCCUCAGUUGCUCCAGGACUCUCUGUGGGGACAGGAGCUCACUGGUAUGGUCCCACUGCAGCCCUGCAGGGCCCCAGCCCACUCUCUGCCUCCAGCACUCACUGACUGCUGGCGUGGGUCAGCCAGGUCCAUCUUGUUCAGCACCAAAAGAUGCGGGCGGAUGCCCAGCACCUCCUGCAGCACAGGAUUACGGCCUGACAGUGGGAUGUGCGGCUGCUAAGGAGGACAACUGUGGUAUGAGGGAAAACAGGAGGGUGGGGGACUGGUGUGGCUUGUAGGGUGAAGGGACUUGGAACAAGGUAACAGCAUAGGUGCAGGGCUUAAAGGGGGGCUGAAGCAACUGCGUGCUGGAGCAGAUCAUAGAAAAAACAGGGGCAUGUGGGCUGGUUUGGGGGGUUAUGGGGCUGAGAGCAGACCACCUCGUGGACAAAUGGAUAUGGGUACAGGGACCAAAAGGGAGUGAAUGAAUGACUAUGUGCAAGGGCAGAUGUAGAGGAAAACGGGGUCGGGGACUGGUAUGGGACGUUAUGGAAAACAGGGGGCACCAUUUUGGGGAUUGCAGGGCCAGUGCAGCUCAGAGGCAUCACGGAACUUAGACCGUGGUACCCGGAGGGCGGUACGGCACGGGAACAGCGUGUGCUGGAGAAAGCGGGGGGCCGGGAGGCAGUCUGAAUGCUGUGCAGGGGGCCGGUGCUGCUCGAGUGGCUAAGGAGCUGGAAGCACUUGGCAGCUGGGCACAGCGCAGGGCUCGGUAUCUAAGGAUAUGCGAGCGUCGUGCACUUCGACGAGGCAGUCGGCACGCCGCAGGGAGGCCCGCAUCUGCCGCAGCCCUGCAACACAACGUCCGCUGAGCAUAGCGGCCCGACGCAGCGACGGGAAGGGCUCGCCCCGCCGUUACCGGGCUCUCACCUUUGGCCAUGUGCCCAGGGAACCAGGAGGCCGCAUCGCGGCUGCCGAAAUCGAAGCGGGUGCGGAACCCGCCGGACUCCAAGCACGGCCCUGAGGCGACGGUGGCGGCGGCCCGCAGCGCUCCCACCCAGCGCCUCAUGACACUUCCGGUGCGUCACUUCCGGCCGUGAGAAGCGGAAGGAGGAAGCGGAGCGGCGCUGGGAGCGUCAUGGCGGAGCCGCGGCCGGGUGGGGAACCUCGGAGCUCAGCGACGGGUCCGGGCCCAGCACCCGCCGCGCCCCCUGCGGCUCCGCAGCCUCCCUCGCAGCCUCCCUCGCAGUCUCCUUCGCAGCCGCCUGCCGCCCCACAACCCCCCCCGGACGCCGCCCCGCCGCCAGGCCCCGCGACUGCCCCGCUGGACGACACGCGCUUCAUGAUCGCCGGCACCAACUGGUACUGACGGUCCGCGGAGGAUGAGCGGCCGGCGGGCAAUAAACGAGGCGGAACUCUG